AGAGUUUGAUCCUGGCUCAGGACGAACGCUGGCGGCGUGCCUAAUACAUGCAAGUCGAGCGAAUCUUUAGGAGCUUGCUCCUGAAGGUUAGCGGCGGACGGGUGAGUAACACGUGGGCAACCUGCCUGUAAGACUGGGAUAACUUCGGGAAACCGGAGCUAAUACCGGAUAUUCCUUUUCUUUUCAUGAGGAAAAGCUGAAAGUCGGUUUUCGCUGACACUUACAGAUGGGCCCGCGGCGCAUUAGCUAGUUGGUGAGGUAACGGCUCACCAAGGCGACGAUGCGUAGCCGACCUGAGAGGGUGAUCGGCCACACUGGGACUGAGACACGGCCCAGACUCCUACGGGAGGCAGCAGUAGGGAAUCUUCCGCAAUGGACGAAAGUCUGACGGAGCAACGCCGCGUGAGCGAUGAAGGCCUUCGGGUCGUAAAGCUCUGUUGUUAGGGAAGAACAAGUACCGGAGUAACUGCCGGUACCUUGACGGUACCUAACCAGAAAGCCACGGCUAACUACGUGCCAGCAGCCGCGGUAAUACGUAGGUGGCAAGCGUUGUCCGGAAUUAUUGGGCGUAAAGCGCGCGCAGGCGGUCCUUUAAGUCUGAUGUGAAAGCCCACGGCUCAACCGUGGAGGGUCAUUGGAAACUGGGGGACUUGAGUACAGAAGAGGAAAGCGGAAUUCCACGUGUAGCGGUGAAAUGCGUAGAGAUGUGGAGGAACACCAGUGGCGAAGGCGGCUUUCUGGUCUGUAACUGACGCUGAGGCGCGAAAGCGUGGGGAGCAAACAGGAUUAGAUACCCUGGUAGUCCACGCCGUAAACGAUGAGUGCUAAGUGUUAGAGGGUUUCCGCCCUUUAGUGCUGCAGCUAACGCAUUAAGCACUCCGCCUGGGGAGUACGGCCGCAAGGCUGAAACUCAAAGGAAUUGACGG
rnacentral:rRNA from 1 species